GAUGAAGAACGUAGCGAAAUGCGAUAAGUAAUGUGAAUUGCAGAAUUCAGUGAAUCAUCGAAUCUUUGAACGCACAUUGCGCCCGCCAGUAUUCUGGCGGGCAUGCCUGUCUGAGCGUCAUUUCAACCCUCAUGCCACUAGGGCGUGGUGUUGGGGAUCGGCCAAAGCCCGCGAGGGACGGCCGGCCCCUAAAUCUAGUGGCGGACCCGUCGUGGCCUCCUCUGCGAAGUAGUGAUAUUCCGCAUCGGAGAGCGAUGAGCCCCUGCCGUUAAACCCCCAACUUUCCAAGGUUGACCUCAGAUCAGGUAGGAAUACCCGCUGAACUUAAGCAUAUCAAUAAGCGGAGGA
rnacentral:misc_RNA from 1 species